rnacentral:snoRNA from 1 species
AGACCGUGAUGAGGACACUUUCUUAGUAGCUCCUUGAACCUUUCCCAAGUUUCAUAUAAAGAUUCCCCAUCCUCUUCUGAGUAU